rnacentral:rRNA from 1 species
CCUACGGGAGGCAGCAGUGAGGAAUAUUGGUCAAUGGGCGGGAGCCUGAACCAGCCAAGUCGCGUGAAGGAAGAAGGUACUUAGUAUUGUAAACUUCUUUUGUCGGGGAACAAAGGCGGAGACGCGUCUCCGCAUGAGUGUACCCGAAGAAAAAGCAUCGGCUAACUCCGUGCCAGCAGCCGCGGUAAUACGGAGGAUGCGAGCGUUAUCCGGAUUUAUUGGGUUUAAAGGGUGCGCAGGCGGGAGAUCAAGUCAGCGGUAAAAUGUCGGGGCUCAACCCCGGCCGGCCGUUGAAACUGGUUUUCUAGAGUUGGAGAGAGGGAUGCGGAAUUCGUGGUGUAGCGGUGAAAUGCAUAGAGAUCACGCAGAACUCCGAUUGCGAAGGCAGCAUACCGGCGCUCAACUGACGCUCAUGCACGAAAGUGUGGGUAUCGAACAGGAUUAGAUACCCGUGUAGUC